UGCUCUUUCCCAUUUUAGGCGGGGAGGAAGGGAGCGGGAGUGGUCGCUGCGUCUCCCGGGGGGCUCUGCCGUCUCUCGGGCUAGGGGAUGGGCUCCGUGGGACUUCCUCCUUCCGGUUGAAGGCUCCGUCUUCUCUCCUGUCCGGAGGCGAUGGUGGCUGUAGCGAGCGGGUAGCGUUUCUCCUCCCUUGGCGCGGUUAUGGCGCAGCAGCCGGGGGGGGAGGGGGAAGCUCGACGAAGCCGGACCCGGAAGUGAAGGGACCUCUGAGGAGCCGCUCACCUAGCCCAGGGCCGCGACGGAGGAGGAGGAGGAGGGGGAGGUGGUAGCAGCCCGCGGUGAUGUCUGGGCCACGGAGGCGGGGCCGUACGGGAGGCGGCCGGGUACGGCAGCGUAAGUCGGUCGGCGCAGCCCCGUGAGGAUUGGACCCGCAGCUCCGGUGAAUAGCCAGAGUGCAGCUUUCCUUUACACCCCUGCUGGUUCCAUUGGCCUGGAACAGCGAACUGCGGCCACAGGGAGCAGAGGGGCUUUAUGCCUGCAGAUGUUCCAGGCAAGAAGAAACAUGCCUGCUGUACAAGACUUGAGCCAUACGUUGUUGAAUGCAUACGUGAUCGGCUGAAGAUGCCACUGGAUUACUUUCUUUUUAUUCUUCCUUCCAACAUUUCAGGUAAUUGUUUGUUUCUGAAUCACUUUCAUCUUAAAAACCCCAGGCUAGAUUUGCCUCAUAACUAAUUACUUCAAAUAAUACACUUCUAGUUGCCAAAACAAUAGACAAAGUAAACUUUGUACAGUUUAUUCUAUUCUGGACUUGUAAAAUGGAGUUUUGAACCUACUAAAUAAAAUUCUAUUGCUUACCUUA